rnacentral:lncRNA from 1 species
ACACAAUCGUCUGAUCCCUUUUUAAUUGUUAGCGACUACCCACGCGAAACAAGUUCGCUGUUGAUCUUUUAACAAAUUUAAUUAUUUUUUCCCUUAUUUUAGUAUAUAUAAUGAAGUAUUUACUGCUCUCAAAAAAUAGAGGAUCCCAACUUAACUAUCCAUUUUAGAAAUCCCCUUUCUUCAUUUAUUCAGUUUCUCUUGUUUAUUAACCAAUUGGACUUGAAGAAUACUGUUUGGGAAAAAACAGAAAAGGCAAAAUGCAAGCCUUGACUUUUGGUUACCCUUUGAAUACAAUGUUAAAGGUUAAGAAUUUGAGCCUUUUGGUCGACCAUUGAAGAUAAAGGUGAAUUUGUGGGUUGAGAUUUGUAAGAUUACUGGGCUAGAAAUACUUUUGGGAGACUGAUGUGUGAUAUAAAGAAUAAAAAGGAAUAUUCAAUGAUGCCAGAGUUUGAGAACAGACCAAUCAGGAAGAGCAGGCAGUUGGGUAGGUUGGAAGGUGAUAGGGAUGAUCGAAGUUGGACUCCUCUUCACGUUUGUGCUUGGAAAGGUGACUUCAAACAGGUAAUAUUUUUACCCCUUUACAGUGAUAUUUUCUUGUGUUCUAUGAAUAUGAGCAUGUAACGAUUUUUUUUGGAGUUUCAGUUUUUCAUAUAUAUAUUUUUUGUUAAUUCUAUUGUUUUCCUUCAUUGAUUGUGCAAUAUGUAUGGUGUUGGAAUUCAAUCAAUAAUAUAAAUUCACCAGAUGGAUUGUU